GAUGAACGCUGGCGGCGUGCCUAAUACAUGCAAGUCGAGCGAACAGAUAAGGAGCUUGCUCCUUUGACGUUAGCGGCGGACGGGUGAGUAACACGUGGGUAACCUACCUAUAAGACUGGGAUAACUUCGGGAAACCGGAGCUAAUACCGGAUAAUAUUUCGAACCGCAUGGUUCGAUAGUGAAAGAUGGUUUUGCUAUCACUUAUAGAUGGACCCGAGCCGUAUUAGCUAGUUGGUAAGGUAACGGCUUACCAAGGCGACGAUACGUAGCCGACCUGAGAGGGUGAUCGGCCACACUGGAACUGGGACACGGUCCAGACUCCUACGGGAGGCAGCAGUAGGGAAUCUUCCGCAAUGGGCGAAAGCCUGACGGAGCAACGCCGCGUGAGUGAUGAAGGUCUUCGGAUCGUAAAACUCUGUUAUUAGGGAAGAACAUACGUGUAAGUAACUGUGCACGUCUUGACGGUACCUAAUCAGAAAGCCACGGCUAACUACGUG
rnacentral:rRNA from 1 species